UGCGGGCGCGGAUGUGGCUGCGGCAUCAGGAUUGCACAGGAUUACAUCUAAUCAAGCAGGGAAUACAGUAGGCACUUGAUACUGGCAGCUUGCUUGCCCUUCCCUGAGGCUUUUCAUGUGAGCUCUUUAAAGCCCCAUCUUUCUCACCCUGUGCUUUCUGAAUCCAAGUUCUGGACUCAAUAUUUGUCAUUGUAAAAUAUCACAUUAUUAGAUGGGUCUCAAUCUCCCUCAGUUUCUUAGAGCCUCCAUCAUGACACCCUGACUUACUCUCCCUCCAUCCCCAGGCAUAGUUUCAGCUCUGACAACCUAGGUGCUUGUGGUUCCAUUACAACCUCUUAUAAGCCCUGUGGCACUCCACUAGGGGUAUUCCAGGGGUACAGGUAUCCAUUGAUUUGCAUCCUUUGUGCAGCUGGCCCCCAACUCUGUCUUUCCUAUAGAGGUCUCACAGGUGACCUUGGUAAAAAUUCAUAUGCACAGUUGUAUCUUGUUUGCAUUUAGACUCUAAGGGAAACAUUCAAGUGAUUCUGUAUUUUUGUUGUUUUUUAAUCUGCAGAAUCUGACCAGAUGAGUUCUUAAUGAGCCCAUGAGGACUUCCAGUUCUUGCCUUCCUCUUCUGAAGGGUGUGUUUGGUGGCUACUCCAGGAAACAUGGCCAAGUUUGCCCUGAAUCAGAACGUGUCUGACCUGGGCGGCUCUCACCUGUGCCACGGCCCGAUUGGGGGCUCCCGCAGCCCGAGUUCGUCCUACACGGUGGAGACGCCCUAUGGCUUCCACUUGGACCUGGAUUUCCUCAAAUACGUGGAGGAACUGGAGCGCGGCCCUGUCGCCCGUC